UACGUAGGGCGCCAGCGUUUUCCGGGAUUCUUGGGCGUAAAGAGCUCGUAGGUGGUUUGUUACGUCUGCUGUGAAAACCUAGGGCUUAACCCUGGGCCUGCAGUGGAUACGGGCAGACUAGAGGUAGGUAGGGGAGAAUGGAAUUCCCGGUGUAGCGGUGAAAUGCGCAGAUAUCGGGAGGAACACCGGUGGCGAAGGCGGUUCUCUGGGCCUUACCUGACACUGAGGAGCGAAAGCGUGGGGAGCGAACAGG
rnacentral:rRNA from 1 species